GUGAGUAGUUCAGAGUUUGAUCCUGGCUCAGGACGAACGCUGGCGGCGUGCCUAACACAUGCAAGUCGAACGGGGUUACCCUUCGGGGUAACUUAGUGGCGAACGGGUGAGUAACGCGUGAGAAACCUGCCUCUCAGUGGGGGGACAACAGUUGGAAACGACUGCUAAUACCGCAUAACACUUUAGUACCGCAUGGUACAGAAGUCAAAGCUUUAUGUGCUGAGAGAUGGUCUCGCGUCUGAUUAGCUAGUUGGCGGGGUAACGGCCCACCAAGGCGACGAUCAGUAGCCGGUCUGAGAGGAUGAACGGCCACAUUGGGACUGAGAUACGGCCCAG
rnacentral:rRNA from 1 species